AAGACUGUACUUUCAGAGAUCAUUUUUAUUGUUUAUUAUUAGAAGUUUCUCUGAACACGUAGAGCACUGGGAGGCAUAAGGAAGAGGCACACGUUCUCGCCUGAGCAUGAAGCCAGCUCUUCCUGUUGCUUUGCUAUAACUACCAUUUAUCACUGAUGACUAUUCCCUUCCUUUGCCAAAGUAAGCGGGAGAGAAUGCAGUCUGAGUGGU
rnacentral:snoRNA from 1 species